rnacentral:tRNA from 1 species
GCCCCUAUAGCCCAAUUGGAAGAGGCAGCGGGCUUAAAACCCGUGUGGUGCCGGUUCGAAUCCGGCUAGGGGCAC